GCAGAGCUCAGUGGUGGCGCAGAAAGUGUUCACUUCUUCUGUUUCGGGCUGUACGCUGUGGUUCUGCGCCUCCAGGGCUUUGCUGCCUGGCGAGCGUCCUCCCUGUACCACAGGAUCCUUGCCCGACUACAAACCCGAGGCUUCUAUUAGGAUAGUCUGGAUUCGCCAUAGGGGUUUCUCCUAGCGCGGAUUGUGUGUUUGCGUUGGCGAUGCUCAUAGAAGAAAGGCGCAGAGCUGUACGAGGAGGCGGGAUGCACGGGUCAGAGCCCUCGGUGGCCUCCGCCCGCUGCUCUUGGCGCCGGUCCGCUCCUGGAGAUAGCGCGGCAGCCGCCUGGGAGGCGAAGCGCGUAAUCUCCGCGCUACCCACGCGGGGCCGCGGCGUGGUGGCCGCACUUUGGCUUUGGGCGCUGGAUGGACAGUGGGGUAAAGGGUUGGGGUUCCCCUAACGUGGAUUACUUGGUGCUUAUCAACUGGAUUUAGAAGACUCUCGACCUGGUCUCCAUCAUCCGUGGGUUGUCUUUCCAUCUCCCAGCCGCUCUUUCACCUGGAGGUGAAACCAGAGCUUCUGCCUGCAUGGAACAAGAGCAAGAGAAAGCUGCCUGGGUCACCGUCCCACCUGAGGGCUAUCUGUCUGUCCCACAAAGCAGACAGCACAAGAGGAAGUCUGUGGGGCCGAGGAGACUGACCUGCUUAUCCAUGCUACUUAUCAGGAACUGUGGAACCAUGGAGAACAUGACCCUGGCCCUCCCUUCAGGAUCUGCCUGAGAUCUGGCUGCCUCUUGAGACACUAGAGCCCUGGAUUCAAUUGCGGAACAUUAUGUUGGAGAAUAUAAACACUUCUAGACUGUGCCGGCAUUUGGGAAGGAAUAGUCUGUUUUGACUUGAAUGAACAAAGACAUACGUCUCUGGGCCUGGGGAAGGCUUACCAGCUCAGCUCAUCUACUGUCUGGUGGCAAACAUGUCCUGGGUACUGCCACUACCCAGGACACUCUUCCUCACUCUGUCCCUGUCCAGUUACCGCACCCUUCCCUGUCUGACCCCGCCUCCUGUGCCCACUCGCCUCUGGACCCAGAGAUUCUUCUUGUUUGCUCUAUCAUCCUUGAGCCGGAUACAGGGUGAAUAGUUAACCACACUUGGGUUGAAUGGGAUCUUGAUUCUUAUUUCUGUUCCUUGGAAAGAGGGGUCAGACUCGGUGCGUGGCACCCGGCCUGGAAGCAGCACAAGACUCCAGAGUGAUACAUGAUCUGCCUGGAUGGUCCCAGGGGCUCUUUGGAGGUCAGAGCAAGAGGAGCAGCCUGAGCAGGGGGGCUGAGGAGGGCCGGCACUGGAUCACACGCAGGCGUAUGUCUGGAUAGGCAGAGAGGAACCCACUUUUCAUUCCCUCUUCUGUGACACAAAUGCAAGGAACUUUGAAGACACUCUUCGGAGGUUGCAAUCGGAGAUCAGCUUAUCCAAGGGCUUCAUGUCUGAGCUCUGUUGGUCGUGCCUCCUGAGGACCUCUUUCCUCUACUGUAUGCUGAUGACACACCCAUCCGAUGGGAGCUGGAGCCUUGUCUGGUCCUUUCCUCUAUGACCCCACGUGUACAGUUGGAAAUCCUUCCUAAUCAUGCCUUGAUUCCCCCUUUUCGACUACACUCAAAGAUGUUUGAGCUGUUUUAUUUGCAAAAUGGAUGGACAGUUUGUUUAUAUAAAACAAUCCCAGCUUC
rnacentral:lncRNA from 1 species